UGAGGGAAUAUUGGGUCAAUGGGCGAGAGCCUGAACCAGCCAAGUAGCGUGCAGGAUGACGGCCCUAUGGGUUGUAAACUGCUUUUAUAAGGGAAUAAAGUGGGCCACGUGUGACUUUUUGCAUGUACCUUAUGAAUAAGGACCGGCUAAUUCCGUGCCAGCAGCCGCGGUAAUACGGAAGGUCCGGGCGUUAUCCGGAUUUAUUGGGUUUAAAGGGAGCGUAGGCCGGAGAUUAAGCGUGUUGUGAAAUGUAGUGGCUCAACCUCUGCACUGCAGCGCGAACUGGCAGACUUGAGUGCGCAGGAAGUAGGCGGAAUUCGUCGUGUAGCGGUGAAAUGCUUAGAUAUGACGAAGAACUCCGAUUG
rnacentral:rRNA from 1 species